GACAGAGGGUGCAAACGUUGUUCGGAAUUACUGGGCGUAAAGCGCGUGUAGGCGGCCCUGCAAGUCGGAUGUGAAAUCCCACGGCUCAACCGUGGAAGUGCAUUCGAAACUGCAGGGCUAGAGUCCUGGAGAGGAAGGUGGAAUGCUUGGUGUAGAGGUGAAAUUCGUAGAUAUCAAGCGGAACACCGGUGGCGAAGGCGGCCUUCUGGACAGUGACUGACGCUGAGACGCGAAAGCGUGGGGAGCAAACAGGGAUUAAGAAACCCCAGU
rnacentral:rRNA from 1 species